GACGAACGCUGGCGGCGUGCUUAACACAUGCAAGUCGAACGGAAAGGCCCUGCUUCUGUGGGGUGCUCGAGUGGCGAACGGGUGAGUAACACGUGAGUAACCUGCCCUUGACUUUGGGAUAACUUCAGGAAACUGGGGCUAAUACCGGAUAGGAGCUCCUGCUGCAUGGUGGGGGUUGGAAAGUUUCGGCGGUUGGGGAUGGACUCGCGGCUUAUCAGCUUGUUGGUGGGGUAGUGGCUUACCAAGGCUUUGACGGGUAGCCGGCCUGAGAGGGUGACCGGCCACAUUGGGACUGAGAUACGGCCCAGACUCCUACGGGAGGCAGCAGUGGGGAAUAUUGCACAAUGGGCGGAAGCCUGAUGCAGCAACGCCGCGUGCGGGAUGACGGCCUUCGGGUUGUAAACCGCUUUCGCCUGUGACGAAACGUGAGUGACGGUAAUGGGUAAAGAAGCACCGGCUAACUACGU
rnacentral:rRNA from 1 species